UACGAAGGGGGCUAGCGUUGCUCGGAAUGACUGGGCGUAAAGGGCGCGUAGGCGGUUUGCACAGUCAGGCGUGAAAUUCCUGGGCUUAACCUGGGGGCUGCGCUUGAUACGUGUGGACUGGAGUGCGGAAGAGGGUCGUGGAAUUCCCAGUGUAGAGGUGAAAUUCGUAGAUAUUGGGAAGAACACCGGUGGCGAAGGCGGCGACCUGGUCCGUGACUGACGCUGAGGCGCGAAAGCGUGGGUAGC
rnacentral:rRNA from 1 species